AAUGUUAUUUACAUGCGAUGUAUGUAAUAUAUGUAAUAUUUCGUGACUAGUUUUUAAUACUAAUAACUGUCUUUAAGCGCCAGGUAUAAUUUGGAAGGCUCUAUCCCCACAUAUAAGACAGAAAAUCCAUGUUAUUGAUUGUGUAGUGCAGUGUGGUUCCACGAAGUGACUCAAUAACCCUCCCGUAAUACACAUCAACGUAUUUCUUCUCUCUUCUUACAAUGUACAAGUGAUUAGGUAGGUAUCUAUACUAUUGACUACAGGUUUAAACCUGAGUCCUAGAGUCCUGAGCCACCGUGUGAGACUACGCUGCAAAGAAUUCAACAGUCCGAAAUCAAGAGUGGGCUGUGCAUCUAAAGAACUAUCUCUACGUCUGUGUUACAAAAGAGUUUACUAUAACGCUUAACACUCUCCUGGCAAAGAAUUCGAAGAAAUUACUAUCAACAAUCCUGUUGCAGUCCAACACUAAAAACAAUAUGAAAGGAAUAAAAAGCAAUCUAUCGAUUGUUCGUGCUCCAUCCGUUAAUCAAUAGGAAUCAUGAACAGAAGGAGUAUUUUGGAGAAAUAAUUUAACAACUUUCGUUUUUGCAAUGUAUUUCAAUCUUCGAUAUGACCACAAGUACAAU